rnacentral:rRNA from 1 species
ACUGGUGGCUGCGACUGUUUAAUAAAAACACAGCACUCUGCAAACACGAAAGUGGACGUAUAGGGUGUGACGCCUGCCCGGUGCCGGAAGAUUAAAUGAUGGGGUGCAAGCUCUUGAUUGAAGUCCCGGUAAACGGCGGCCGUAACUAUAACGGUCCUAAGGUAGCGAAAUUCCUUGUCGGGUAAGUUCCGACCUGCACGAAUGGCGUAACGAUGGCCACACUGUCUCCUCCCGAGACUCAGCGAAGUUGAAGUGUUUGUGAUGAUGCAAUCUACCCGCGGCUAGACGGAAAGACCCCAUGAACCUUUACUGUAGCUUUGCAUUGGACUUUGAACCGAUCUGUGUAGGAUAGGUGGGAGGCUAUGAAACCGGAACGCUAGUUUCGGUGGAGCCGUCCUUGAAAUACCACCCUGGUUUGUUUGAGGUUCUAACCUUGGUCCGUGAUCCGGAUCGGGGACAGUGCAUGGUAGGCAGUUUGACUGGGGCGGUCUCCUCCCAAAGGGUAACGGAGGAGUACGAAGGUACGCUAGGUACGGUCGGAAAUCGUGCUGAUAGUGCAAUGGCAUAAGCGUGCUUAACUGCGAGACCGACAAGUCGAGCAGGUGCGAAAGCAGGUCAUAGUGAUCCGGUGGUUCUGUAUGGAAGGGCCAUCGCUCAACGGAUAAAAGGUACUCUGGGGAUAACAGGCUGAUACCGCCCAAGAGUUCAUAUCGACGGCGGUGUUUGGCACCUCGAUGUCGGCUCAUCUCAUCCUGGGGCUGUAGCCGGUCCCAAGGGUAUGGCUGUUCGCCAUUUAAAGAGGUACGUGAGCUGGGUUUAAAACGUCGUGAGACAGUUUGGUCCCUAUCUGCCGUGGGCGUUGGAUAUUUGAAGGGGGCUGCUCCUAGUACGAGAGGACCGGAGUGGACGAACCUCUGGUGUACCGGUUGUGACGCCAGUCGCAUCGCCGGGUAGCUAUGUUCGGAAGAGAUAACCGCUGAAAGCAUCUAAGCGGGAAACUCGCCUUAAGAUGAGAUAUCCCUGGAGGCUUGACCUCCUUGAAGGGUCGUUCGAGACCAGGACGUUGAUAGGUCGGGUGUGUAAGCGCAGUAAUGCGUUCAGCUAACCGAUACUAAUUGCCCGUAAGG